CCUACGUGACGCAGCAGUGAGGAAUAUUGGUCAAUGGGCGGAAGCCUGAACCAGCCAAGUAGCGUGAAGGAAUAAGGCCCUACGGGUCGUAAACCUCUUUUGACGGGGAGAAAGGGCGGGGCAGUGUCGCGGCCCGGAGAGUACCCGGAGAAAACGCAUCGGCUAAAUCCGUGCCAGCAGCCGCGGUAAUACGGAGGAUGCGAGCGUUAUCCGGAUUUGUUGGGUUUAAGGGGUGCGUAGUCGGGCUUUUAAGUCAGCGGUAAAAAUUCGGGGCUCAACCCCGUCCGGCCGUUGAAACUGGGUGCCUUGAGUGGGCGAGAAGAAGGCGGAAUGCGUGGUGUAGCGGUGAAAGGCAUAGAUAUCUCGCAGAACCCCGAUUGCGAAGGCAGCCUUCCGGCGCCCUACUGACGCUGAGGCACGAAAGUGCGGGGAUCGAACAGGAUUAGAUACCCCUGUAGUC
rnacentral:rRNA from 1 species